AGCUCCAAUAGCGUAUAUUAAAGUUGUUGCAGUUAAAAAGCUCGUAGUUGGAGUUCAGAGUGAGCUCAGCCGGUCGGCCUCAUGGGUCAGAACUGGUCGACUCUCUCUUGUUUGUGGAUCCCGUCCGGAGUUAACUCUUCGGAAUGUGGAGUUCACAUCGUUUACCUUGAAAAAAUUAGAGUGUUCAAAGCAGGCGUUUGCUUGAAUAUAUUAGCAUGGAAUAAUGGAAUAGGACCCUGGUUCUAUUUUGUUGGUUUUGAGAACCAGAGUAAUGAUUAAUAGGGAUAGUUGGGGGCAUUCAUAUUUCAUUGUCAGAGGUGAAAUUCUUGGAUUUAUGAAAGAUGAACUUCUGCGAAAGCAUUUGCCAAGGAUGUUU
rnacentral:rRNA from 1 species